UCGAUGUGUCCUGUAGGGAACUUCCCUUCUCU
rnacentral:piRNA from 1 species